rnacentral:ncRNA from 17 species
AUCGUUCAUCCUCUCGCCUGCUGUUUGGCUUAUCGUGGAGCAAGACGGCAGCCGGAGGACGGAAGUAGGGAGCUAUCCCGAAGGAACGCGCC